AUCAUUUUUCCUCAUGCUUGAAAAUAUUGAUUUGAUAAUUGGUAUAUAGCUUUAUCAUGACAAGUUACAGAUCAAAUUCGAAUUUUGUUCUGGUCUGAUGAUUUUGUGCAGAGUUAUGGUCCUUUGAAAUAGAAAAUUCACUCAAAUAAUCAGUUUUCCAUACUUUUUUCAUCAUGCUUGAAGAUAUUGACUUGAUAUUUGUUAUAAAGUUAACACCAUGACAAAUUAUAGUACAAGUUAGCAUUUUGUUACAGUACAAUGAAUUUUUAACCGGUAGGGGACUAUGUAUUGACAUGCAAUAAUAUCAGAAUGCUUGUUUAAUUUACUUUUAUUGGUUUGCCAUCCCUUAAAAAAAUUGUAUGAACUUAAUUAUUUGUUACUUUAAAACUAAUACUAUUUUUUUUAAAUGCCAACUUUGCAGACCACAUUUUACUAUGUAAAUUCACCGAUUUUUGUCUCGACUUGACAGAGUCAAAAAGCGAGACAUAGGUUUGCUGUUUCCGGCAGCGGCAUCAACAAUGUAUUAGUUUGUGAUUAGGUCUAGUUUAUGGUGAACCACUAGUGGUAAGUCAAUGAUAAUUGAUAUGCAGUUGUAUUAGCAUUGGCACAUCUCAUUACCAUGGUAAUUAUUUGGCACUGCCCUCUCAGUCAUGGCCUAUUGACUUUGAAACUUUGCUUAGUUUACAUGUAUUAGUGUGUGAUUAGGUCAGUUCAAGAUGAACCUCUAAUGUUAAGUCAAUGAUAUUUCAUUUCCAUGGAGAUUAUAUAGCCCAAUCCCCUCAUCAUGGUUCAUUGACUUUGAAACUUUUACAUAGUUUACAAGUUAAUGUUUGUGUUUAUGUUUGUUUAAAGGGAACGACUUAUGAAAAGUCAAUGGUAUUUGGUAUGCAGUUGCAUUAGAUUUGGCACAUCUCCUUUCCAUGGAGAUUGUAUAGCCCUGUACCUUCAAUCAUGGUUCAUUGACUUUGAAUAUUUGCAUAACUUACAUGUUAAAGUAUUGCUAUUUUAGUUUCAACAUUUGCAUUAUCAAAAUAACAAAAUAACAAAUAGGCAAGGCAUAUCUCUGUGUUAACAGUUUAUUAUAACUUACUCUUAAAAUCUAUUUACUUUUUAGAUUUAACAAGUAAUUCUGCAGGUACCCUUAUACACUACUUGAACUGAGGAAAUGAAUUUGGAUAGGAUAGAUGCUCUACCUUUCCAUUUAUAUAAAUCAUUUAAAUUAUCAAUAGUCAGCAGCAAUUUGAACUUGGUAUUUCUGAUUUACUUUUAGCAAGUAUUGUCAUUAACCAAUGAUUUGAGUCUUUUUUGGUACAAAUUUGGUCCUUUCAUUGCAGAUUUACAGUCUACCUUUCAACAAAACUUUAUUAUACCCCAUGCAACGAGUUGCGGAGGGUAUAAUGUUUUUGACCCGUCCGUCCGUCUGUCCGUCAGUACGUCAGUCCGUCAGUCCUAUUUCUUGUCAUCGCAACUCCUCUGAAACCACACAACAGAAUUUCACGAAACCUUUUCAGAUAAUAAGGACAUACAACGUAGAUGUGCAUAUCGACAGGAAAUUAAGAUUCAAUUUUUUUCCCAGGAGUUAGGCUCCUUUGAACUUAUUUGCCAAAUAUACUACUGCAACCUUUUGUCAUCGCAACUUCUCUCAAACCACACAACAGAAUUUCAUGAAACCUUUUCAGAUAAUAAGGACAUACUACGUAGAUGUGCAUAUCGACAGGAAAUUACGAUUCAAUUUUUUUCCAGGAGUUACGCCCCUUUGAAUUUAUUUGCCCAAUAUACUACUGCAACCUUUUGUCAUCGCAACUACUCUCAAACCACACAACAGAACUUCAUUAAACCUUUUCAGAUAAUAAGGACAUACUACGUAGAUGUGCAUAUCGACAGGAAAUUAAGAUUCAAUUUUUUUCCAAGAUUUACGCCCCUUUGAACUUAUUUGCUUUAAUGUACUACUGCAACAGUUUGUCAUCACAACUCCUCUGAAACCACACAACAGAAUUUCAUGAAACUUUGUAGAUAAUAAGGACAUACUAUGUAGAUUUGCAUAUUGACAGGAAAUUAUGAUUCAAUUUUUUUUUCUUAUACAAUUUUUUUUUCUUACACUUAUUUUAUUUCUCCAAUGACAAUGUGGGGACGUGGGGUAUGUGAGCGCGCUCACUAAGGUUCUUUAAUUUUUAGAAAAAUCAUUCAUAAACAGUAAUAACUGUGCUUAUUUUGAUAUUUCUUCAUUGUGCUGACCUUGACAUCAGAAUCUGCUAAUAUAUGGAUAUUCAGGUUUAACCUGGUUGUCUGUACUGACUCUGUAGCUGAAGUCAUAGAAAUAAUGUAUUUGCAUGAUAAUCCAUGUUUAACAGUUGAGGCCAAGUGUAAAAAGAAUAGCAAAAUUUUAAUUAAUAUAUUGAUGCAAAAAUCUUCAAUAUAUUUGUUAGAGUCAAAGUUUAAUAAUUAUAUUAGUUUAAUAAGUUAUCUAAGAUGCUUGUUUUUUUAGCAGAAUCUGCAUAGUUGUAUGAUUUUUGUAUAGUAAAAGCUUUUGCUGUUACAAAUGUAAUGUUUUUUGUAAGCAGAUAAUAAUUAUUUGAUGUUUUUUUUAUAUUUAUACACAGAAGUAUUGAUUUGUUAUGAUUAUUAAAAUGAAGCAGAAAUUA